UAGGGCCAUGUCAUAUUGAAAACACCAGUUCCCAUAUGAUUACCAAAGUUAAGCAACAUUGAGCCUGGUCAGUACUUUGAUGGGUGACU